rnacentral:rRNA from 1 species
GACGAAGGGGGCUAGCGUUGUUCGGAAUUACUGGGCGUAAAGCGAGUGUAGGUGGUUGUCAUAGUCAGGUGUGAAAGCCUUGAGCUCAACUCAAGAAAUGCACUUGAUACUGGAUGACUAGAGGACCGGAGAGGAUAGUGGAAUUCCCAGUGUAGUGGUGAAAUACGUAGAGAUUGGGAAGAACACCAGUGGCGAAGGCGGCUAUCUGGACGGUUUCUGACACUAAGACUCGAAAGCGUGGGGAGCAAACAGG